CUUAAGGAUAAAUUAUCUAUCAUCUGUAAAUGUACAUACAACUAUAUGCACAAAGACAAUAAAGAUCAUUGAGAUAUAAAUCAUGAAAGAGGGGCGAAAGAUACCAGAAGGACAUUCAAACUCAUACAUCGACAUGACAAAUUACUAUAACUCCACUUUUUAAUUGGCCAAAACUGAACCCGAAUGGAGGCAACAUAUAUUGGGCUUCUGAUGGAUAUUUUGAUGGCUUUUGAUUUAACAAACGGAACUUAUACCAGUUUGAGUGAAAUAGAACACAAAAGAUUUCUGGACCAAGGAAUUCCAGCUACAGUAUGCCUUAGUUUCUUGUGUAUCAUAGGAACAAUUGGAAAUAUACACAUGAUAUUGAUACUGAAGAUAUCGCCAGUCAUGGCAAAAUAUUCAAUUCGAGUUUUCAUCAUUUUGCUUUUUUUAACUGAUCUUAUAGCAUGUUUUUAUGCCAUUUGAAAUUUAUAAUAUUCGAUACAGCUACACCACAUCUACCAGUGGUUGCAAAUUUUUCAUUGUCCAAAAGACAAACAGACACAUAAUAGUACACAAGACACAACAUAUAAAACUGAGGGCUAAGCAUCACAAACCCCACCAAAAUCUAGGGGUGAUCCCUGGUGAUCCGGAAGGGUAAGCAGAUCCUGCUCAACAUGUGGCACCCGUCGUGUUGCUCAUGUUACAAAUGUAUUACAAACUCGGUAAAUAGUCUAACUUGGUAGGUCAUAUUCGUAAAAAAGGGAAGAGGAUUGUAGUUAUGACAUAAGGAACAUAUCCGAUAUCCUCUAUGAAACGGUUAUUCCAUAACGAUCAACCAACUCGUAAUGGCGUCCGUAAAAAUCUACAAUGGUUCCAUUUUCAUUAUUAAUUUACUUUUCCUCACGUUUCUUAGUAUAUUGUUGUAAAUCGGUCAGUAUGUCACUAAUUCAGUUUUCUUCGUCUUUUACGUCUAUUUUAAAAUUGUGAUCAAUAACGUGAACAGCAAUGUUUGCCUACAACUAAAACGCUUUGCCCUAUUAGAAUAGUUAUAAUUCAUGGGUGCUUGAAUUUAUAUUGAUUUUAUCACGGGUUUGGCACUUUUACCGAUACUUAACUCCUUUU